UUAGAAGCAGCCAUCAUUUAAAGAAAGCGUAAUAGCUCACUGGUCGAGUCGGCCUGCGCGGAAGAUGUAACGGGGCUAAACCAUGCACCGAAGCUGCGGCAGCGACGCUUAUGCGUUGUUGGGUAGGGGAGCGUUCUGUAAGCCUGCGAAGGUGUGCUGUGAGGCAUGCUGGAGGUAUCAGAAGUGCGAAUGCUGACAUAAGUAACGAUAAAGCGGGUGAAAAGCCCGCUCGCCGGAAGACCAAGGGUUCCUGUCCAACGUUAAUCGGGGCAGGGUGAGUCGACCCCUAAGGCGAGGCCGAAAGGCGUAGU
rnacentral:rRNA from 1 species